rnacentral:rRNA from 1 species
UUUCCUACGGGAGGCAGCAGUGAGGAAUAUUGGUCAAUGGACGCAAGUCUGAACCAGCCAUGCCGCUUUCAGGAUGACGGCUCUAUGAGUUGUAAACUGCUUUUGGACGAGGGUAAACCCCGAUACGUGUAUCGGGUUGAAAGUAUCGUACGAAUAAGGAUCGGCUAACUCCGUGCCAGCAGCCGCGGUAAUACGGAGGAUCCGAGCGUUUUCCGGAUUUAUUGGGUUUAAAGGGUGCGUAGGCGGUUUGUUAAGUU